UAGCUAUCGAAUGUCAUAACUGGCGUGC
rnacentral:sRNA from 1 species